rnacentral:rRNA from 1 species
CCUACGGGGGGCUGCAGUCGAGAAUUUUUCACAAUGGGCGAAAGCCUGAUGGAGCGACGCCGCGUGGGGGAUGAAUGGCUUCGGCCCGUAAACCCCUGUCAUUCGCGAUCAAACUCUGCAAUCCAAUAAGUUGCAGACUGAUAGUAGCGAAAGAGGAAGGGACGGCUAACUCUGUGCCAGCAGCCGCGGUAAUACAGAGGUCCCAAGCGUUGUUCGGAUUCACUGGGCGUAAAGGGUGCGUAGGCGGUCGGAUAAGUCUGACGUGAAAUCCUGGAGCUUAACUCCGGAACUGCGUCGGAAACUAUUUGGCUAGAGGAUUGGAGGGGGGACUGGAAUUCUCGGUGUAGCAGUGAAAUGCGUAGAUAUCGAGAGGAACACCCGUGGCGAAGGCGAGUCCCUGGACAAUUCCUGACGCUGAGGCACGAAAGCUAGGGGAGCAAACAGGCUUAGAUACCCUGGUAGUC